GAUGAACGCUGGCGGCGUGCCUAAUACAUGCAAGUCGAGCGAACAGACGAGGAGCUUGCUCCUCUCACGUUAGCGGCGGGCGGGUGAGUAACACGUGUAUAACGUACCUGUAAUACGGGGAUAACUUCGGGAAACCGGAGCUAAUACCGUAGAAUAUAUUGAACCGCAUGGGUCAAUAGUGAGAGACGGUUUUGCGGGCAGGUAUAGAUGGAUCCGCGCCGCAUUGGCUAGUUGGUGAGGUAACAGCUUAGGAAGGGAAGGCGGCGUAGGCGAGCGGAGGGGGUGAUCGGCCACACUGGAACUUGGCCAGGGACCAUACUCCUGCGGGAGGCAGCAGUCGGGUAUCUUCCGCAGUAGGCGGAAGCCUGACGCAGCAACGCCGCGCCAGUGAUGAAGGUCCUCGGAUCGUAAAACUCUGUUAUUAGGGAAGAACAAAUGUGUAAGUAACUGUGCACGUCUUGACGGUACCUAAUCAGAAAGCCCCGGCUAACUACGUG
rnacentral:rRNA from 1 species